UUUCUAGAGGACUAGUGGUUAGGCUACAGCGCUCUCACCACUGCAACCCAGGUUCGACUCUGGGCCAGGGAA